rnacentral:rRNA from 1 species
GACAGAGGGUGCAAACGUUGUUCGGAAUUACUGGGCGUAAAGCGCGUGUAGGCGGCCCGGAAAGUCGGAUGUGAAAGCCCUGGGCUUAACCUAGGAAGUGCAUUCGAAACUGCUGGGCUUGAGUUCUGGAGAGGAAGGCGGAAUUCUCGGUGUAGAGGUGAAAUUCGUAGAUAUCGAGAGGAACACCGGUGGCGAAGGCGGCCUUCUGGACAGUGACUGACGCUGAGACGGCGAAAGCGUGGGGAGCAAACAGG